ACAUUGAGGGCGCUGUUUACAAUUAUACGAAUCAAGGAAGUAAAUUGCUUGCUCCCUUCGGGCUAAUCUCUGUCACCCAAUUUGGAGAAGUAAUUGAUUUCACACCUUGCCUAUAUAAUCUGAGUAGUAUGGCGACGGCACAUCCAAGAAAAGACUUAAAAAUGCCAUUACCGCCAGUACCAGGAAGUAAUCCUCCAGCACUUCCGCCUCGUCGAAAUGUUCCUCCACCACCACCACCAGCGUCACCAUCUCCACCACCACCACCAGUUGCAGAGGAGGAAUAUUAUGACGAGUUUGAUGUGGAAGAUGAAAAUUCGAAAACAGCACCUACUGUCGACACAGACGAAGACUAUGAUGAGUUUGACAUAAGUGCUCCAGACGAGGGACCACCAGUUUAUGAGCUUGAUAACUCUCCGGCGCCAUCUCCGCCACCUCUUCCAACUCAACACAGACGGGGACCGCUUCCAAAUCCACCUCCUCAGGAAGAAGGUAAGUAAUAUA